GCUCUGAUAGCUUAACCCUUAAAGCACUG
rnacentral:tRNA from 1 species